rnacentral:sRNA from 1 species
AUUAGCAAACAUUGUUACAAAUCCAAAGCUGAACAACUCUCAGGGGAGACCGCCGUAGACCAACAAUGGAAGGCAGACGCCACAAAUUCAAUUAAAAUUCAGCCGAAAAUAUAUGCAAAUUAUACAAUGGCAGAAGCGAUGGAAUGAUGGACUGUUGGAGCUUCAUAUUUAGUGAAUGUAAUACUUGCAUUUAAUAAGGCAUUCGGAGCUUGGAAUUGCUUAACUCAAGACUCAAUACUCAGCCAACUGUAAAUAGCAACAGGCCGAAAUUUAUGCGAAAACUUGCUCAAAGUAAUAAGCAAAGAAAGCUAAACAAAAAUAAAAAAGCA